CAAUGGAGGUCAAAGAGCAUUGAUUAACACGCUAAAAAGAGAGUAUGCCUCUUGAUAACACGCCAAUAAUGGCAUACGAACUGGCAUGUCAUACAUGCGCCAUUUCAUGACAUCAGUUUGGAAAAAGAAGCAAAACA